AAAAAGAUAAACCCUGGGUUUCCGUGUCCAACAUUUGACUGUCCGUCUUAUAUGAAAUUUUUUAUAAUUAGUAUUUUCAUUAUUGUUAGAUGAUAAAACAUGAUUAAUACUUUAUGCGUGACUUGUCUUUUUAAUUUUUUUAUAUUUUUUUUAAAUAAGACGGACGGUCAAACAUUGGACGUGGAAACCCAGGGUUUAUCUUUUU
rnacentral:pre_miRNA from 1 species